UACGUAGGCAGCGAGCGUUGUUCGGAGUUACUGGGCGUAAAGCGUGCGUAGGCGGCGGCCCAAGUCUGGUGUGAAAUCUCCCGGCUUAACCGGGAGGGUGCGCUAGAAACUGGGUUGCUGGAGUACCGGAGAGGCAGGCGGAAUUCCUGGUGUAGCGGUGAAAUGCGUAGAUAUCAGGAGGAACACCCGUGGUGUAGACGGCCUGCUGGACGGUCACUGACGCUGAGGCACGAAAGCGUGGGGAGCAAACAGGAUUAGAUACCCUGGUAGUCCACGCCCUAAACGAUGCAUACUUGGUGUGGGCAGUUCAGUCUGUCCGUGCCGAAGCUAACGCGAUAAGUAUGCCGCCUGGGGAGUACGGUCGCAAGGCUGAA
rnacentral:rRNA from 1 species